ACGCUCGACACCUACGGGAGGCAGCAGUCGGGAAUAUUGCGCAAUGGAGGAAACUCUGACGCAGUGACGCCGCGUGCAGGAAGAAGGUUUUCGGAUUGUAAACUGCUUUAGACAGGGAAGAAAGAAAUGACAGUACCUGUAGAAUAAGCUCCGGCUAACUACGUGCCAACAGCCGCGGUAAUCUGAGCGGGCUGGCAAGGC
rnacentral:rRNA from 1 species